UGGUUGUGGCUCAGGGGUAGAGCUCUUGCCUAGCACGUGUGAGGCACUGGGUUCCAUCCUCAGCUCCAA
rnacentral:tRNA from 1 species